rnacentral:rRNA from 1 species
GAUGAACGCUGGCGGCGUGCCUAAUACAUGCAAGUCGAGCGAACAGACGAGGAGCUUGCUCCUCUGACGUUAGCGGCGGACGGGUGAGUAACACGUGGAUAACCUACCUAUAAGACUGGGAUAACUUCGGGAAACCGGAGCUAAUACCGGAUAAUAUAUUGAACCGCAUGGUUCAAUAGUGAAAGACGGUUUUGCUGUCACUUAUAGAUGGAUCCGCGCCGCAUUAGCUAGUUGGUAAGGUAACGGCUUACCAAGGCGACGAUGCGUAGCCGACCUGAGAGGGUGAUCGGCCACACUGGAACUGAGACACGGUCCAGACUCCUACGGGAGGCAGCAGUAGGGAAUCUUCCGCAAUGGGCGAAAGCUUGACGGAGCAACGCCGCGUGAGUGAUGAAGGUCUUCGGAUCGUAAAACUCCGUUAUUAGGGAAGAACAAAUGUGUAAGUAACUAUGCACGUCUUGACGGUACCUAAUCAGAAAGCCACGGCUAACUACGUG